rnacentral:rRNA from 1 species
GCAUAACGCGAAGAACCUUACCUGGGCUUGAACUGUCGGUAUAGGGACCCGAAAGGGCGACGAUCCCGGGCAACCGGGAAGCCGAUAGAGGUGCUGCAUGGCUGUCGUCAGCUCGUGUCGUGAGAUGUUGGGUUAAGUCCCGCAACGAGCGCAACCCUUGUCUUUAGUUGCCAGCGAGUCAUGUCGGGCACUCUAAGGAGACUGCCUCGGAUAACGAGGAGGAAGGUGGGGAUGACGUCAAGUCAGCAUGGCCUUUAUGUCCAGGGCUACACACGUGCUACAAUGGGCGGCACAGAAGGACGCGAGACCGCGAGGUCAAGCCAACCCUUAAAACCGUUCUCAGUUCGGAUUGCAGGCCGCAAUUCGCCUGCAUGAAGUCGGAAUCGCUAGUAAUCGCGGAUCAGCUACGCCGCGGUGAAUACGUUCUCGGGUCUUGUACACACCG